rnacentral:rRNA from 1 species
AUGGCCGUUCACCACCUCCUCCGCCGCGGGAUCUCUGGUGGGUCUCCCCUCCACCCUCUGCGCGGCCUCCUCGUAUCGCAGGAGCUCGGUCGGCGUCAGGCGAGCUCGGCGGCGGCGGGGGACGCGGUGGCCGAGCUGAGGGGCGCGCGGGAGGACGUCAAGCAGCUGCUGAAGGAGAAGUCCUGCCAUCCCAUCCUGGUUCGCUUGGGUUGGCAUGACGCUGGUACUUAUGACAAGAACAUUAAUGAGUGGCCCAAGUGUGGUGGAGCUAAUGGUAGCUUGAGGUUUGAAAUUGAGUUAAAGCAUUCGGCUAAUGCUGGUCUUGUGAAUGCUUUGAAACUUAUUCAAGCCAUCAAGGACAAAUAUGCAGGUGUUACUUAUGCGGAUCUGUUUCAGCUUGCCAGUGCUACAGCCGUUGAGGAAGCUGGUGGCCCCAAAAUCCCCAUGAUCUAUGGAAGGGUUGAUGUUUCUGCCCCUGAACAAUGCCCACCAGAGGGGAGACUCCCUGCUGCUGGUCCGUCUUCACCUGCUGAACAUUUGCGAGAAGUAUUCUACAGAAUGGGCCUGAAUGACAAGGAAAUUGUUGCAUUGUCAGGAGCACACACACUUGGACGAUCAAGACCAGAGCGCAGCGGCUGGGGUAAACCUGAAACAAAAUACACUAAAAAUGGACCUGGUGCACCUGGGGGGCAAUCUUGGACAUCACAGUGGCUCAAGUUUGAUAACAGCUAUUUCAAGGAUGUCAAAGAACGACGAGACGAGGACCUCCUAGUUCUGCCUACUGAUGCUGUGCUCUUUGAGGAUUCAUCAUUCAAGAUUUAUGCUGAAAAGUAUGCUGAGGAUCAGGAUACAUUUUUUGAAGACUACGCUGAAGCUCAUGCUAAAUUGAGCAAUCUGGGGUCUAAGUUUGACCCUCCUAAGGGUGUAUCACUAGACUAG